rnacentral:rRNA from 1 species
AUGCAAUCGAGAGAACGUGCUAUGUACUGCUGUACAUACACCAAUAAUGCAUUCACUUUCACGCUUCUCUGGUCAGCUCAUAUGUGGUUAUCGAAGAAGGAAAACUUCUUGAGAAGGACUCUAAUUGCUAUGGACCAAGAGAUUUCAGAUGCUUAUUACUAUUGUAUAUGUUGCCGUUGUCAUUGGACUUGCUAUUCCUGUAAGAGGUACAUUGGAAUCGCUGUUCAUCUAGAGGAGUCAGUGCCAAAUCUACGUUGGAAUAAUGCAAUGUUAAUGAUUGGAGAUGGAUUGACUCCUACCAAAGACUGA